rnacentral:rRNA from 1 species
GACGAACGCUGGCGGCGUGCUUAACACAUGCAAGUCGAACGGAAAGGCCCUGCUUUUGUGGGGUGCUCGAGUGGCGAACGGGUGAGUAACACGUGAGUAACCUGCCCUUGACUUUGGGAUAACUUCAGGAAACUGGGGCUAAUACCGGAUAGGAGCUCCUGCUGCAUGGUGGGGGUUGGAAAGUUUCGGCGGUUGGGGAUGGACUCGCGGCUUAUCCGCUUGUUGGUGGGGUAGUGGCUUACCAAGGCUUUGACGGGUAGCCGGCCUGAGAGGGUGACCGGCCACAUUGGGACUGAGAGACGGCCCAGACUCCUACGGGAGGCAGCAGUGGGGAAUAUUGCACGAUGGGCGGAAGCCUGAUGCAGCAACGCCGCGUGCGGGAUGACGGCCUUCGGGUUGUAAACCGCUUUCGCCUGUGACGAAGCGUGAGUGACGGUAAUGGGUAAAGAAGCACCGGCUAACUACGUG